rnacentral:rRNA from 1 species
AAUCAACGCUGGCGGCGUGCCUAACACAUGCAAGUCGAACGCGAAAGGGACUUCGGUCCUGAGUAGAGUGGCGAACGGGUGAGUAACGCGUGGGUGACCUACCCUCGAGUGGGGGAUAACGUUCCGAAAGGGACGCUAAUACCGCAUGACAUUCCGGGUUUGAAGACCUGGAAAUCAAAGCCGGGGACCGCAAGGCCUGGCGCUAGAGGAGGGGCCCGCGUCUGAUUAGCUAGUUGGCGGGGUAACGGCCCACCAAGGCGACGAUCAGUAGCCGGCCUGAGAGGGCGGACGGCCACACUGGGACUGAGACACGGCCCAGACUCCUACGGGAGGCAGCAGUGGGGAAUUGUUCGCAAUGGGCGCAAGCCUGACGACGCAACGCCGCGUGGAGGAUGAAGGUCUUCGGAUCGUAAACUCCUGUUGAUCGGGACGAAAAGCUUCGACCUAAUACGUCGAAGACUGACGGUACCGGUUGAGGAAGCCACGGCUAACUCUGUGCCAGCAGCCGCCGCCGUAAG